AACGCAUAUGGCACCCUCUGGCGCAUGCCUGGGGGUAUGCCUGUUUGAGAAUCAUUUAUGCCAUUCUGGCUGGUGCGCUUCUGUGCAUCGUCAGAGACCUGGGCCUUCACCGCUGAUCGCCCCGAAUGCAGCGUGCGCGUGUCGUGAUAGUUGUUGCUGAUCGACGUGCUGCACUGCCUAUACUUUGCCAGUGAUCUCAAAUCAGGCAGGACUACCCGCUGAACUUAA
rnacentral:misc_RNA from 3 species